rnacentral:rRNA from 1 species
GGCCUAUUGAAUAUAAUUUUAGGUCGAUCUGCCCAAUGAUUUAAAAUUUAAUGGCUGCGGUAUUUUGACUGUACAAAGGUAGCAUAAUCAAUUGUUUUUUAAUUGGAAACUAGAAUGAAAGAAUUAAUGAGAUAUAUACUGUCUCAUAUAUAAUUAAUGAAUUUAAAUUUUUAGUAAAAAUGCUUAAAUUAUUUUAUGGGACGAUAAGACCCUAUAGAAUUUUAUAUUAAUAUGAAUAAUUAUUUUUAUAAGAUUUUAUAUUAAUAUUUAAUUGGGAGGAUUAGUAAAUUUAAUAAACUUUAUUUUAAAAAUAAACUUUGAUUUAAGAAUUAUUUUUGAUCUUGUAUUAUGAAAAUAAGAAUAAAUUACCUUAGGGAUAACAGCGUAAUAUCUUUUUAAAGGUCAUAUUGAUAAAGAUGAUUGCGACCUCGAUGUUGAAUUAAGAUAAAUUUUAGAUGGAGAAAUUUAAAAAUUAAGUCUGUUCGACUUUUAAAAUCUUACAUGAUUUGAGUUCAAAUCGACGUGAGU